rnacentral:rRNA from 1 species
UACAGAGGGUGCGAGCGUUUAAUCGGAAUUACUGGGCGUAAAGCGCGCGUAGGCGGCUUUGCAAGUCGGGUGUGAAAUCCCCAGGCUUAACCUGGGAACUGCAUUCGAGACUGCAUUGCUAGAGUAUGGGAGAGGGAAGUGGAAUUUCCGGUGUAGCGGUGAAAUGCGUAGAUAUCGGAAGGAACAUCAGUGGCGAAAGCGAACUUCCUGGACCAAUACUGACGCUCAUGUGCGAAAGCGUGGGGAGCAAACAGG